rnacentral:rRNA from 1 species
UACAGAGGGUGCAAGCGUUUGUUCGGAAUCAUUGGGCGUAAAGCGCACGUAGGCGGCCUACUAAGUCAGGUGUGAAAGCCCAGGGCUCAACCCUGGAAGUGCACUUGAAACUGGUGGGCUUGAAUGUCGGAGAGGGCAGUGGAAUUCCGAGUGUAGAGGUGAAAUUCGUAGAUAUUCGGAGGAACACCAGUGGCGAAGGCGACUGCCUGGACGAACAUUGACGCUGAGGUGCGAAAGCGUGGGGAGCAAACAGG